UCUCCGUUGGUGAACCAGCGGAGGGAUCAUUAUAGAGUUUUCUAAACUCCCAACCCAUGUGAACUUACCAUUGUUGCCUCGGCAGAAGCUGCUCGGUGCACCCUACCUUGGAACGGCCUACCCUGUAGCGCCUUACCCUGGAACGGCUUACCCUGCAACGGCUGCCGGUGGACUACCAAACUCUUGUUAUUUUAUGGUUAUCUGAGCGUCUUAUUUUAAUAAGUCAAAACUUUCAACAACGGAUCUCUUGGUUCUGGCAUCGAUGAAGAACGCAGC
rnacentral:misc_RNA from 1 species